UGGGGAAUAUUGGACAAUGGGCGCAAGCCUGAUCCAGCCAUGCCGCGUGAGUGAUGAAGGCCUUAGGGUUGUAAAGCUCUUUCAGUGGGGAAGAUAAUGACGGUACCCACAGAAGAAGCCCCGGCUAACUUCGUGCCAGCAGCCGCGGUAAUACGAAGGGGGCUAGCGUUGUUCGGAUUUACUGGGCGUAAAGCGCACGUAGGCGGAUUGUUAAGUUGGGGGUGAAAUCCUGGAGCUCAACUCCAGAACUGCCUUCAAUACUGGCAAUCUCGAGUCCGGAAGAGGUAAGUGGAACUCCUAGUGUAGAGGUGGAAUUCGUAGAUAUUAGGAAGAACACCAGUGGCGAAGGCGGCUUACUGGUCCGGUACUGACGCUGAGGUGCGAAAGCGUUGGGAGCAAACA
rnacentral:rRNA from 1 species